rnacentral:other from 1 species
AAAUCCCUGUGCUGUUGGUGAUCUGCGGAGCGCGUUGAGCCAACUCAUGAAAAAAGGGCGGCUGUCCCUGGUAGUAAUGGCAAAUCCCUAUGAGGAAUUCCCAGACAUUGCCGGUAAGCUGCCCACCUAAUACUUAUUAGGUUUAACAAAGCUGCGGACACGGCAGCGCGGGGUAUUU